CCCCGUUGGGCGGCGGCGGUGUAGCUCAUAACCUCGGAGGAAGCUGCUCUAACAGCAACAGCGAUUUUUAGGGAUGGCGGCAGCUGCAGCGGAACCUGCAAGAGCCCAGAAGUUUUUCCGGAGCUUCUCAGAUGCUCUGAUCGAGGAGGACCCCCAGGCAGCGUUAGAGGAGCUGAUUGAGGCUUUGGAACAGAAACCAGAUGAUGCUCAAUAUUAUUGUCAAAGAGCUUAUUGUCACAUUCUUCUUGGGAAUUACUGUGAUGCUGUUGCUGAUGCAAAGAAAUCUCUUGAACUUAAUCCAAAUAAUUCCACUGCUAUGCUGAGAAAAGGGAUAUGUGAAUACCAUGAAAAAAACUAUGCUGCUGCUUUAGAAACUUUUAUAGGAGGACAGAAAUUAGAUAGUACAGAUCCUGAUUUCACUUUCUGGAUUAAAAGGUGUCAAGAGGCCCAGAAUGGAUCACAAUCUGAGGUGUGUGCAUCCCAGAGGACUCAUCAGUCAAAAAUCAAGUAUGACUGGUAUCAAACAGAAUCUCAAGUAAUCAUUACACUUAUGAUCAAGAAUGUUCAGAAGAAUAAUGUAAAUGUGGAAUUUUCAGAAAAAGAGUUGUCUGCUUUGGUGAAACUUCCUUCUGGAGAGGAUUACAAUUUGCAACUGAGACUUCUUCAUCCUAUAAUCCCAGAACAGAGCACAUUUAAAGUACUUUCAACCAAGAUUGAAAUUAAAAUGAAAAAGACAGAGACCAUGAGAUGGGAAAAGCUAGAAGGGCAAGGAGAUAUGCCUAAACCAAAACAGUUCAUAGCAGAUGUAAAGAACUUAUAUCCAUCAUCAUCUCAUUAUACAAGAAAUUGGGAUAAAUUGGUUGGUGAGAUCAAAGAAGAAGAAAAAAAUGAGAAGUUGGAGGGAGAUGCAGCUUUAAACAAAUUAUUUCAGCAGAUCUAUUCAGAUGGUUCUGAUGAAGUGAAACGUGCUAUGAACAAAUCAUUUAUGGAGUCUGGUGGUACAGUUUUGAGUACCAACUGGUCUGAUGUAGGUAAAAGGAAAGUUGAAAUCAAUCCUCCUGAUGAUAUGGAAUGGAAAAAGUACUAAAUAAGUUAAU